UACGGGGGGGGGCAAGCGUUGUUCGGAAUUACUGGGCGUAAAGGGCUCGUAGGCGGCCAACUAAGUCAUACGUGAAAUCCCUCGGCUUAACCGGGGAACUGCGUCUGAUACUGGAUGGCUUGAGUUCGGGAGAGGGAUGCGGAAUUCCAGGUGUAGCGGUGAAAUGCGUAGAUAUCUGGAGGAAUACCGGUGGCGAAGGCGGCAUCCUGGACCGGCAUUGACGCUGAGGAGCGAAAGCCAGGGGAGCAAACGGGG
rnacentral:rRNA from 1 species